rnacentral:rRNA from 1 species
UACGAAGGGGGCUAGCGUUGCUCGGAAUCACUGGGCGUAAAGGGCGCGUAGGCGGCGUCUUAAGUCGGGGGUGAAAGCCUGUGGCUCAACCACAGAAUGGCCUUCGAUACUGGGAUGCUUGAGUCUGGUAGAGGUUGGUGGAACUGCGAGUGUAGAGGUGAAAUUCGUAGAUAUUCGCAAGAACACCGGUGGCGAAGGCGGCCAACUGGACCAGCACUGACGCUGAGGCGCGAAAGCGUGGGGAGCAAGCAGG